GUUUUUUAAGUAUUCAACAAGAGAGCUCUCUCUCCCGUCCCUGUCUCGGACACUCCACUGAAACUCCCCGGCCAUGUCUCCAGCUCUUUGAAAAGGUGAAACCAAUAAGAUUAAAUCGGACAAAGAUUUUUUUUCUGUAAGUGUAUCAUUAAGAUUUAACUCCACAGAUUGGAAAAAAGGGGCUCCGCAGGAGAAGAGGAGAGGAGAGUGAGAGUGAGAGGGACAGCGAAUAGGAGCAGGGUAGAGGCUCUAAUAGAAAUCUGGGGAAACGCCGAGAGAAAAAGGAGAAAGUGGACGGCAGGGCAUUAAAAGAAGAAGCACCGGCGACUGCGGUUUGCAGUGGAGGAGCAGCUUUGUACCUGGAUGAAAAACCCCGCCGUCGAUGAGGCAGAGAGCGACAUGGCGGCCUGGCGUUCGGAAACACACUGGGACAUGUCGGUGUGGUGCAAGGACUGACACAGGGACGAGAUGUGAUUUAUGGCGAGUGCCGUUUGAUUAAUGCUACCACCUGUGUCUUUAGAAGGAAAAGAAAAAGGGGGGGAGCUAUUGGCAGUCCUCCUCUGGAAGCUGGUUAAGGUAAGUGGCACCCCCUAUUACAAUGACACGGCAAAUAAUGCUUGUGGUUGUUGUUUCUGUAUGAACUUUUUUUUUUGGUGUGUGUGGCUUAAAUGGAAUGUACCUGGCGUCCUAAGCAUCACCGCCCUCCAUCAGAGCUCCGGCUAAGAGUCACUGCUGUAAAAACACACGCAGUCACCAUCGAUGAACGUCAGCAGAGCAGCCACAGUGUCGCAAAGGAGCCUGGAGACCAACAAAGCCGGCUGAUACAGUAACAUGGAUCAUGCUCUUGAACUUGCUUCUAUAAUGAUGUAAGAUUACUAAAAGGCAAUGCAACACAGCAAAAGAUCCUAAUAAAAACACAUCAAUCUCGA